UUGAAUUGGCAAAAAAACACA
ensembl:piRNA 21ur-10266 ncRNA